AUAUGGCAGGGGAGACACCAUGAUCAAGGAGGAGGCUUUCCCAGGGCGAGACUCAUUCCUUGCACUCUGGGUGUGCUGACCCCUGCAAUUUCACCAAAUGCGGGAAACUCAACUGCAUAAUUUGUGGUAGUGGGGGACUGGUUUUGUUUUUUUUUUUU
ensembl:snRNA U1 U1 spliceosomal RNA